ACAGGUGGAAUCGAUAUUGGCCAAAGACCUCCGUGGCGGCUGCUCCCAGCCAGGCAUUGGUUUCGCUCUCCAUUAAAAGAUGUUUGCCAAUGAGACCACAGAUCCUGUGAAGCACACGCCAGAGUGAGCAGCAGCAGCUGAAAAGAACGCAUAGCUCCACAAGAGUCCAGGGGGCACGAAGGAAAUAACCUAAGCCAUUUUCUUUCACCAAGAAAUCUAGAAAAUAUUCAUGUUUCCAGUUCAGAUUUCAGAAAGACUGCAACUCAGUAGUGCCGGAAAUGGGAGGUCCCCCAUCACGGAAACAGGCUAUCAUCAUCUCAAUCUAUCACCAUACUAAGCAAUCCACUGUCCAAAAAAGCAAACGAGAUUUUUUUUUUUUUUUUUGGUCUGGAGAAAGAUAUCAUCAAAUAUACUCUCAAACUAUGAUUACAG
rnacentral:lncRNA from 1 species